rnacentral:misc_RNA from 1 species
UUGUUCUUCUUGUUUAUUAUCGAAAGAGAAAAGUGCCCUUCGACAACAGGUCAGGACGGGUAGCAGCCUGCGCUGCACCGUCCUCCCGCAGGCACCGCACAGAGUACCUACCUAACGCCGCGCAUUCGAAGACACGGCGACGACGGCGAACUCCCAACUUGCGGCGGCAGCAGCAGCAGCAGUGGCGGCGGCAGAGGCGGCUUCGGCUUCGGCAGCGGCGACGGCAACGGCAGCAGUGCAGCCGGCAAGCAGCGACGACUACGGCCGAGAUUGAUUGAGGCGCGGCGCCGCGGCGGGCGCGAGUGAAUUUAGAAAACAACAACAAUAGCAUAGGAAUUAGGAGGGCCUUUUGUUUUGUUAUCCAGCCAUCCCCUGUGGCGGUGCGGCGGUGCGGUGCAGUCGGUGCGUGCGUGCUCGUGGCCAGAUUUUCGACGUGGCGGCGGUUCGUGGCGUCUGGUGGCGUGGUUCUCGAAAUGCAUCUCGAUAAGCGCCCGUGCGUGUGCGCGUACGUACAUAAUGAAUAGGUAACGUGGAAAGGCAAAGCACGGCGCGCCUGCAGCGAGGUGGUGCGCCGCGCGGCGACAGCGCGCGCGGCUACGCAGCGGCGGCGGCAGCAGCAGAGGCAGCAGGGACCCCGCAAAUGAAGAGACUCGAGACACUGUGAGCGAGCGCGCAGCGCCCUACUUCCCGAGGACGACGAUGUACGCUUCGAACGUAAGCGAUGCAGGCUGGCUGGCUGGCUGGCUGUGAGGAGCGCGCACGGUUCACGGCGGGCGACGUCGACGUCGACCACGAUCCGAGCGAUGUGGUGUAGUAGGUACACAAGGAUGGGUGGGCUUCGCCUUCGGCUUCUUCGCACCGCCAGCCUGCCUCGCCUGCUUCUUCGCCGGCGUAGCUGGAGCCGGAGCUUCGGUUGCGACUGCUGUGUCUGCCAUUGUUUACAACGCACGAGAGAUCAACACCAACACACACGAACUACGGCGGCAGCAGCAGCAGCAGUGGCGGCGGCAGAGGCGGCUUCGGCUUCGGCAGCGGCGACGGCAACGGCAGCAGUGCAGCCGGCAAGCAGCGACGACUACGGCCGAGAUUGAUUGAGGCGCGGCGCCGCGGCGGGCGCGAGUGAAUUUAGAAAACAACAACAAUAGCAUAGGAAUUAGGAGGGCCUUUUGUUUUGUUAUCCAGCCAUCCCCUGUGGCGGUGCGGCGGUGCGGUGCAGUCGGUGCGUGCGUGCUCGUGGCCAGAUUUUCGACGUGGCGGCGGUUCGUGGCGUCUGGUGGCGUGGUUCUCGAAAUGCAUCUCGAUAAGCGCCCGUGCGUGUGCGCGUACGUACAUAAUGAAUAGGUAACGUGGAAAGGCAAAGCACGGCGCGCCUGCAGCGAGGUGGUGCGCCGCGCGGCGACAGCGCGCGCGGCUACGCAGCGGCGGCGGCAGCAGCAGAGGCAGCAGGGACCCCGCAAAUGAAGGUAUGUAACAUGUACCUAACCUAAGAAUUAUCACGGCGCAGCGCAGUGACGAGUAACAUCCUAGCACAAGUAAUUAAUAUGCCUAGUCUACAGCGUUGUACGUUGUACGUUUUGAGACGACACUGAUAAAGAAACUGUCUUUUU